ACCUGGCUGGCUCAGUUGAGAGCAUGCGACUGUUGAUCUCGGAGUUGUGAGUUCAAGCCCCAUGUUGGGUG
rnacentral:tRNA from 1 species